ensembl:snRNA U1 U1 spliceosomal RNA
CUACCUACCUGGCAGGGGAGAUACCAUGAUCAUGAAGGUGCUUUUCCCAGGGCGAGCCUUAUCCAUUGCACUCCAGAUGUGCAGGCCCCCGAGACUUCCCCAGUGAGAAACUUGACUGCGUAAUUUGUGGUAGUGGGGGACUGCAUUCGUGUUCUCCCCCG